rnacentral:rRNA from 1 species
GGGGAAUAUUGGACAAUGGGCGCAAGCCUGAUCCAGCAAUUCCGCGUGGGUGAAGAAGGUCUUCGGAUUGUAAAGCCCUUUCGACGGGGACGAUGAUGACGGUACCCGUGGAAGAAGCCCCGGCUAACUUCGUGCCAGCAGCCGCGGUAAUACGAAGGGGGCUAGCGUUGCUCGGAAUUACUGGGCGUAAAGGGCGCGUAGGCGGCACGAUUAGUCAGGCGUGAAAUUCCUGGGCUCAACCUGGGGACUGCGCUUGAUACGGUCGAGCUAGAGGAUGGAAGAGGGUCGCGGAAUUCCCAGUGUAGAGGUGAAAUUCGUAGAUAUUGGGAAGAACACCGGUGGCGAAGGCGGCGACCUGGUCCAUUACUGACGCUGAGGCGCGACAGCGUGGGGAGCAAAC